rnacentral:misc_RNA from 1 species
GAUGAAGAACGUAGCGAAAUGCGAUAAGUAAUGUGAAUUGCAGAAUUCAGUGAAUCAUCGAAUCUUUGAACGCUCAUUGCGACCUCUGGUAUUCCGGGGGGCAUGCCUGUUCGAGCGUCAUUACAACCCUCAAGCUUUGCUUGGUAUUGGACAUUGCCAGUUUCUGGCAGGUCUUAAAAUCAGUGGCGGUGCCAUUUGGCUUCAAGCGUAGUAAUUCUUCUCGCUUUGGAGAUCCAAGUGGUUACUUGCCAAUAACCCCCAAUUUUUUCAGGUUGACCUCGGAUCAGGUAGGGAUACCCGCUGAACUUAAGCAUAUCAAUAAGCGGAGGA